GCACCGCUCGAGCCCGCCCCUCGUGGGGCGGAGGCUCGGUGUUGGGGACCCGCGGGGUUUGGGGCCCUCGGCCCCGCUACCUCGCGGCCCUGAAAAGCAGUGGCGGCCCUCCACGGCAAGCCCCCAGCGGAGUAGAACAUUACGUCUCGCUCGGGCGCCCUGGAUGGGACGGCCUUGAAAAACGGGGAGCCUCCGGCCCACCCCUAAUUCUCUACACCCGG
rnacentral:misc_RNA from 1 species